rnacentral:rRNA from 1 species
ACGAACGCUGGCGGCAUGCCUCACACAUGCAAGUCGAACGCGACCUUCGGGUCUAGUGGCGCACGGGUGCGUAACGCGUGGGAACCUGCCCUUAGGUUCGGAAUAACUCCCCGAAAGGGGUGCUAAUACCGGAUAAUGUCUUCGGACCAAAGAUUUAUCGCCUUUGGAUGGGCCCGCGUUGGAUUAGCUAGUUGGUAGGGUAAAAGCCUACCAAGGCGACGAUCCAUAGCUGGUCUGAGAGGAUGAUCAGCCACACUGGGACUGAGACACGGCCCAGACUCCUACGGGAGGCAGCAGUGGGGAAUAUUGGACAAUGGGCGAAAGCCUGAUCCAGCAAUGCCGCGUGAGUGAUGAAGGCCUUAGGGUUGUAAAGCUCUUUUACCCGGGAUGAUAAUGACAGUACCGGGAGAAUAAGCGCCGGCUAACUCCGUG